GCAUCUCCCAGAUACUGUAUUUUUUAUCUGCUUUUGGUUGAAAGAAAUAUGCAUGUAAGUGAACCCAUGCAGUUCAAGCCCAUGUUGUUCAAGUGUCAACUGUAUCUAGUAG
rnacentral:pre_miRNA from 1 species